AGAGUUUGAUCAUGGCUCAGGAUGAACGCUAGCGACAGGCCUAACACAUGCAAGUCGAGGGGCAGCACGUGAGUAGCAAUACGAUGGUGGCGACCGGCGCACGGGUGAGUAACACGUAUGCAACCUGCCUUCAACAGGAGGAUAACCCGUUGAAAAACGGACUAAUACUCCAUAACACAGGGGUCCCGCAUGGGAAUAUUUGUUAAAGAUUUAUCGGUUGAAGAUGGGCAUGCGUUCCAUUAGCUUGUUGGUGAGGUAACGGCUCACCAAGGCCACGAUGGAUAGGGGAACUGAGAGGUUUAUCCCCCACACUGGAACUGAGACACGGUCCAGACUCCUACGGGAGGCAGCAGUGAGGAAUAUUGGUCAAUGGAGGCAACUCUGAACCAGCCAAGUCGCGUGAAGGAUGAAGGUCCUAUGGAUUGUAAACUUCUUUUAUACGGGAAUAAAGUGGGGGACGUGUCCCCCUUUGCAAGUACCGUAUGAAUAAGGAUCGGCUAACUCCGUGCCAGCAGCCGCGGUAAUACGGAGGAUCCGAGCGUUAUCCGGAUUUAUUGGGUUUAAAGGGUGCGCAGGCGGGAUGUUAAGUCGGCGG
rnacentral:rRNA from 1 species